GAUGAAGAACGUAGUGAAAUGCGAUACGUAAUGUGAAUUGCAGAAUUCAGUGAAUCAUCGAAUCUUUGAACGCAUAUUGCGCUCUCUGGUAUUCCGGAGAGCAUGCUUGUUUGAGUAUCAGUAAACACCUCAACUUCCAUAUCUUUUUUGAAAUGGGAGUUGGACUUGAGUGAUCCCAACGCUUUUCCUCACCGAAAAGUGGCGGGUUACUUGAAAUGCAGGUGCAGCUGGACUUUUCUCUGAGCUAUAAGCAUAUCUAUUUAGUCUGCCUAAAAAACAGAUUAUUACCUUUGCUGCAGCUAACAUAAAGGAGAUUGGUUCUUGUGCUGACUGAUGCAGGAUUCACAAAGACAGGCUUCGGCCGACUUUGUAAACUCGAUCUCAAAUCAAGUAAGACUACCCGCUGAACUUAAGCAUAUCAAUAAGCGGAGGA
rnacentral:misc_RNA from 1 species